rnacentral:lncRNA from 1 species
CAUCUGUCUUUUCAGAAAUACACCCAUUUUCCCACCUCUGCCCACCAUCAAAAUUUUGGCACAAGCACACCUGAGAUUGGACCUGGGGGAGAGGAAAGCAGAAAGCAGAAAGCAGCAGCAAGGCAAAAGAAGAAGGGGUGGGCACAAAGCAUAGAGGCCCUCAGCACCUGCCUUGAAUGAUCUGAGUCUCAAAGAGAUUAAUAACAUGUCUGCCACGGAGCUGGCUCCAGUAUAUCAGUAUUCAUUUAUGUUUAGGCCUGAAGAAGUCAAUAAAGCCCACGUCAGCCGUCAGAUUAGGCAAGAACUAAAAGUGGUGCCUUCCUUCAUUUAUAAGCCAAAUGAUGAGAAACAGAAUGCAACGAGCAACAGCAAGGAGAAGAAUGCUGGCUACAAAGUGGCCUGCGUCCACACUGAGGACAAUACAAGGAGGAAUGGUUGUAAGGUGCACUGAGAUGGCCAGAUACUCAGACCAAACCAUGAAAUUCAUCAGGUAUUUGACUUGAACCCUCCCCCAUGGAAGGGGUGUGACAUUGGACGAGCCAGCUGUCUGCAGAUGUGGAAGUGUUGAAAGACUGAAACCUGAAGGCUAUAUGCCGAUAGAAUUUCCAGGAAUUGGGUUGCAAGUCCUUCACUGAGUGGCACCUCCAGGCAGCAACUGGGGUGAGCUAUAGCUACUGCUGCAUUUGGGCUUAGGGCUGCAACUAGUACUCAUCCUUUCUCUCAUCUACCAUCCAUUCCAAAUUCCUCUCACCCCCUCCUGUGACCUCAGCAGGUCUGAAGGACUUAGAUGGUGUGACCCAGAGCUUGAUAAUCAUAUCUGUUUUAUUGUGAGUUUGCUGUAUGUGUGUACUCACAGUUACAGCAGAGCAAGGGAG